AGUCCUUUUUCUGGAGCCGCUUAGUUUUCACGGCUUGUGCUCCAGAACAACGAUUCUUUUUUUUUUGAGGUCGAUACUUUGGGCCACUGAAGACUGAGAUUUCCAGCAACCGAAAUACUUCAGCCGUCACGGACCAGGGCUACCAAGGCGCGGGCCUGCGCGCAGAAAUGCGCCCAGAAAUUGGGGGAAAUUCCCCUCGUUGGGGCGACUUUCGCUUUCGCGGCCUUUCGCCUUCGCGAGGUGAAGAGUACCCCAGCCCACAUCGUCUCUUCGGCUCUGAAAUAUAAGAACCUGAUGCCCAUGAUCAUUCACGAAAAAAAAACCAUGAAAUACCUCACAAGUAGUAACUGUUACCCAAAGAAAAAAGAAAAACCUCAACAUGCGCCACUUUUGGUAACGUGGUUUUCAAGGAAAGUGCGGUUUUGUGAUUCACGUCCCAGAAAAAUCGCAUCAUUUCCAGUUUUUCUGUGGUUUGGUUUGGGCUGUUACGACUUCUGAAAAGGUUUCCCGUUCGGAUCUGAGUGUUCAGUAACUUCCCUUAGUAGGUACCGCAUUUGGCCAAGAUUUGGGUUAUAUACCGUUUCAUUGAACAUUCGAUAAAUUUCUAUGAUUUCAGUUCAGUAUUCCAAAAUGUUAACAUGUGAAAGCCCCGAAAUUUGGUUUGUAAUCAAUAAACAGAAAAAAUUA